rnacentral:rRNA from 1 species
GUUCCUACGGGAGGCAGCAGUGGGGAAUAUUGCACAAUGGGGGAAACCCUGAUGCAGCGACGCCGCGUGAGUGAAGAAGUAUCUCGGUACGUAAAGCUCUAUCAGCAGGGAAGAAAAAAAGUCUUUGGCUUUGGACGGUACCUGACUAAGAAGCCCCGGCUAACUACGUGCCAGCAGCCGCGGUAAUACGUAGGGGGCAAGCGUUAUCCGGAUUUACUGGGUGUAAAGGGAGCGUAGACGGCACUGCAAGUCCGGAGUGAAAGCCCACAGCCCAACUGUGGGACUGCUCUGGAAACUGUGGCGCC